CAAAUCUUGGAUCUUGCUAAUAACUAUCUCCGUGGUGCCAUACCAACAUGUGUCACUAACUUUAGUGGGAUGGUAGAUGGAACUUAUGAUCCCAUGGGAGGUAAAAUUGAUAUUAUUUCAGGGAGAAAUUAUGUGAGUUGCUCAAUUAUGAAAAAGGGGAAAAUGGUUGAGUAUAGCACCAUUCUUAAUUUUAUAUGGAGUAUGGACCUCUUGAACAAUAAAUUAUAGACGAAUAUUCUUGAAGAAAUAACAAGGUUUAAGG
rnacentral:misc_RNA from 1 species